CACGUAGGCACCAAGCGUUGUCCGGAUUUAUUGGGCGUAAAGAGCUCGUAGGCGGUUCAGUAAGUCGGGUGUGAAAACUUUGGGCUUAACCCAAAGCGUGCACCUGAUACUGCUGUGACUUGAGUUCGGUAGGGGAGUGGGGAAUUCCUAGUGUAGCGGUGAAAUGCGCAGAUAUUAGGAGGAACACCGGUGGCGAAGGCGCCACUCUGGGCCGAAACUGACGCUGAGGAGCGAAAGCAUGGGUAGCAAACAGG
rnacentral:rRNA from 1 species